rnacentral:rRNA from 1 species
UACGUAGGGUGCGAGCGUUGUCCGGAAUUAUUGGGCGUCAAGAGCUUGUCGGCGGUUUGUCGCGUCUGCCGUGAAAGCCCAGGGCUUAACCCUGGGUCUGCGGUGGGUACGGGCAGACUAGAGUGUGAUAGGGGAGACUGGAAUUCCUGGUGUAGCGGUGAAAUGCGCAGAUAUCAGGAGGAACACCGAUGGCGAAGGCAGGUCUCUGGGCCACUACUGACGCUGAGAAGCGAAAGCAUGGGGAGCAAACAGG